rnacentral:rRNA from 1 species
UUGCAGGAGGCAGUUAUGAGACGUGAAGAUGAGUAUCUUGUAAAGAGGGAUAGGAGAAUUGGAGGGCAAGUUUGGUGCCAGCAGCCGCGGUAAUACCGACUCCAAGAGUGUGUAUGAGAGAUGCUGCAGUUAAAAAGUCCGUAGUCAUAGAAGGGCAAAGAGAGAUGCGAGGUCUCACAGUGCGAUGAUGGAGGAGCCGAUGGGGAACAUAGUAUACCAGGGCGAGAGAUGAAAUGCCAAGACCCCUGGUGGACUGAGCGAGGCGAAGGCGAUGUUCUUGUAGGCAUUCGGUGAUCAAGGACGAAGGCUGGAGUAUCGAAAGUGAUUAGAUACCGCAGUAGUUCCAGCAGUAAAAGAUGCCGACAUGCUCAUUGGACACAGUGGGCAGGGAGAAAUCUUAGAGUUCGGGCUCUGGGGAUAGUAUGCUCGCAAGGGUGAAAAUUAAAGAAAUUGACGGAGCUACACCACAAGGAGUGGAUUGUGCGGCUUAAUUUGACUCAACGCGAGGAAACUUACCAGGGCCAAGUAUUGUGUAGAAACGAGCAAUACAGGAGUGGUGCAUGGUCGUUGGAAAUUGAUGGGAUGACUUUGACCUUAAAUGGUUGAAUGAGUGAGAUCUUUUGGACAUGUUCCGCACGGAACAGGAAGGAAAAGGCUAUAACAGAUCCGAGAUGCCCUCAGAUGCCCUGGGCUGCACGCGCAAUACAAUAGCAGGUAGAGAGAGAGACAGGAAGGUGCUCAGAUGGACUAUGUGCUGUAAGGCACAUACGAAAGAGGAAUUCCUAGUAAGUGUGUAUCAACAA